rnacentral:rRNA from 1 species
UACGUAGGGAGCGAGCGUUGUCCGAAGUUACUGGGCGUAAAGCGCGCGUAGGCGGGCUGUUAAGUGAGAGGUGAAAGGCUGGGGCUUAACCCCAUGCAGUGCCUCUCAUACUGGCGGUCUUGAGUGCGGCAGGGAGAAGUGGAAUGGCUGGUGUAGCGGUGAAAUGCGCAGAUAUCAGGAGGAACACCAAUGGCGAAGGCAGCUCGCUGGGACGGUACUGACGCUGAGACGCGAAAGCGUGGGGAGCAAACAGG